GGGUUGUGAGGUUAAGCGACUAAGCGUACACGGUGGAUGCCCUGGCAGUCAGAGGCGAUGAAGGACGUGCUAAUCUGCGAUAAGCGUCGGUGAGGUGAUAUGAACCGUUAUAACCGGCGAUUUCCGAAUGGGGAAACCCAGUGUGUUUCGACACACUAUCAUUAACUGAAUCCAUAGGUUAAUGAGGCGAACCGGGGGAACUGAAACAUCUAAGUACCCCGAGGAAAAGAAAUCAACCGAGAUUCCCCCAGUAGCGGCGAGCGAACGGGGAGGAGCCCAGAGCCUGAAUCAGUGUGUGUGUUAGUGGAAGCGUCUGGAAAGGCGCGCGAUACAGGGUGACAGCCCCGUACACAAAAAUGCACAUAUUGUGAGCUCGAUGAGUAGGGCGGGACACGUGGUAUCCUGUCUGAAUAUGGGGGGACCAUCCUCCAAGGCUAAAUACUCCUGACUGACCGAUAGUGAACCAGUACCGUGAGGGAAAGGCGAAAAGAACCCCGGCGAGGGGAGUGAAAAAGAACCUGAAACCGUGUACGUACAAGCAGUGGGAGCCUCUUAAUGGGGUGACUGCGUACCUUUUGUAUAAUGGGUCAGCGACUUAUAUUCUGUAGCAAGGUUAACCGAAUAGGGGAGCCGAAGGGAAACCGAGUCUUAACUGGGCGUUAAGUUGCAGGGUAUAGACCCGAAACCCGGUGAUCUAGCCAUGGGCAGGUUGAAGGUUGGGUAACACUAACUGGAGGACCGAACCGACUAAUGUUGAAAAAUUAGCGGAUGACUUGUGGCUGGGGGUGAAAGGCCAAUCAAACCGGGAGAUAGCUGGUUCUCCCCGAAAGCUAUUUAGGUAGCGCCUCGUGAAUUCAUCUCCGGGGGUAGAGCACUGUUUCGGCAAGGGGGUCAUCCCGACUUACCAACCCGAUGCAAACUGCGAAUACCGGAGAAUGUUAUCACGGGAGACACACGGCGGGUGCUAACGUCCGUCGUGAAGAGGGAAACAACCCAGACCGCCAGCUAAGGUCCCAAAGUCAUGGUUAAGUGGGAAACGAUGUGGGAAGGCCCAGACAGCCAGGAUGUUGGCUUAGAAGCAGCCAUCAUUUAAAGAAAGCGUAAUAGCUCACUGGUCGAGUCGGCCUGCGCGGAAGAUGUAACGGGGCUAAACCAUGCACCGAAGCUGCGGCAGCGACGCUUAUGCGUUGUUGGGUAGGGGAGCGUUCUGUAAGCCUGUGAAGGUGUGCUGUGAGGCAUGCUGGAGGUAUCAGAAGUGCGAAUGCUGACAUAAGUAACGAUAAAGCGGGUGAAAAGCCCGCUCGCCGGAAGACCAAGGGUUCCUGUCCAACGUUAAUCGGGGCAGGGUGAGUCGACCCCUAAGGCGAGGCCGAAA
rnacentral:rRNA from 1 species